AGGAGUUUCGAGCCCACUAUGUGUAUGAGAUUGGGUUACUUUGGGCCCGUUUCGAAUUUUAGAAUUUUAAUUACAAAUAAAUGGAUGAAAAUUAAAAAUAAAGUAUUAAUUUUACAAAAAAAAAUUAUGACCUAGACUAGUCAUCCCCCACAUGUCAACACCACACCCUACCACACCCCUCCCUUGCAUGGUCAUCAUCAUCUUCAUUCCUAAAAAUGGGACUCCUAACAACAACAAUAAAGAAAAACAUUCCUAGAGACCCCGAAAACAAAACUCAGUCAUUAUAAUCUCAAAUUCUCCAAUCCCUCUAUAUCCUCUACAGUUUCCCAAACUCUAAAAAUCUCUGAUCAAUCUCAAAGAGCCCUCUAUCAUUCCAACACCUCUUCCUUUUGUUCUUCCUUCACCAAUGCACUUCCCUCCACCUCUCUACCCUGCCAAAGAACCAAAGAAAAACAGCAACAAGUUAGUAGUAGAGUGAGCACAUCAUAAGCAUUUCGGAUUUCACGUUUAUGUCAGAAAUUCAUAUAGGUACUUGAGUUUUGAAACCUUGUGUCGAAAUUCAACUAUUUUUAUCGAUAUUUUUGUAUACUAGUUCCAUAGGUUUCCAUCAAAUCCAGUGACUUAUCUAUGUGUAUACUAACACGAACGCUAACUAUUGUUUAUGUUUUAUCAUUCAGUUGAUGCUUAUACUAACAUUUAAUACGCAUUAUAUUCCAACUAAUACUUAUAUGUAGCUCUUUAUCUACAUAGUACCAACAUUUCAUAAGUGUAUAUAUUAUCAUAUCUGCACCAUGUUUUCAUUUAUCCAACACUAGCAUAACAAAAGGAGAAAACGAGAGAAAGGGGUUAGAUUGUCAAAUAAAAUAUGAGCUUUUUCAAAGAAAGGAAGUUUCUUUAUUGAUCAGAACUAGGAUCUCAUCUUCAUAAAAAUAAUCCCAAGAUAGCAGAGAAUAAAAAUGGAAGAGGAGCAAAUAAAAUUUACCUGACGAAAAGAAAGGUGCUUCCUCUUGCAUGUCGUACAUCUAGGUCUAGCUAGCGGCGGUUUAACGUUGGGAAGGCCUCGUUCGGCCACGGAAAAUUAAAAUUGAUUAGAUCUAAGUUUAAAUCGAAGAAAACGGAGGGAAGAACGAUUUACCUGUUUUUCAGCUUAGAAAGAGUCAAAGAGAUGAUAGAAAAUUGAGAGACGGAGAAGGGAGGAGAGAUUCGGCCGAAAUAGAGGAGAGGUGAAAUUUCUGAGGAAACUUCACUUAAAUAUGGUAGGGUUUCAACCAACGAAAAGAAAAAUAUGCAUUGCUUUUUCAUUACUAAUAGAAACAGGCUUAUUGGUCAUUUCAUCCC
rnacentral:lncRNA from 1 species